rnacentral:lncRNA from 1 species
AGAAGCAGUGGAGAAUUGAGCAGUGGAGAAUUGAGGGGAGGGCCAUUGUAGCAUAUGCUCAUGAAUAAUGAAUCUGACAUUAUACGUAUGCAAAUGGAACACAGUAAGCUCUAAGCUAAAACUUGGUUUCAUCAUUUAUUCACAGCCUCUUGUGUUCAGCACCUGGAUUGUGCUCAGGAUGGCAAGAGAACAAAGCAAUCUGCUUGCUGUACUUGGGAUAGAGAAGACCUGCACGAGAAAGCCAGAUAUUCAAGAUGGUGUGAUUUCUAUCACAAGCUCUGAAGCGCAAAGCACUGCUUCCCAAUACAUCACUUUUCUCUUCUCCCCUGGAGUAGACAUUUUACAAAGUGGUUGAUGUUCCACCUCAUGGUAAGUCCACCCUAAUUCAAACUUCUUUCAAUUUUUCCAGAAUACAAAAUAGUGUCAUUUUAAUCAUGAAUGAUUCAUGAAACUUCAUGCUGCUGUCCAAAUAUUAUUGACCCUGGGCUGGGCUCACCCAAGCUGGGCCAAUCAGGUCCUUUUUCCUGGAAAUUUGGAAUGUUGAACUGAGAACUUUUGAAACAAGGUUCAUUAUUUUUUCUAGCUGAAGUCUUUGAAAACACAGUGGCUUCUUUCUAUUUUUGUUUGCUUGUUUUGUUUCUAUCUUCCUUGGAUUCUGUGAAAAACCCUCCUCAGUCCUCACCAUCCCUCAAAAUUUUAUUUUUGGCUGGCUUGUUUUUUUGUUUAAGCUAUACAGAAUUGGUUUCUGUUACAUGAGACUGAAAGAACUGUAACAAUACAUGUUUUGCUUGUCAUGGUCUCAUUCUUCAUCUACCCAGAUAGCCAUUCAUACGGUCAGCUGGGUAUUACCUUCUCCACAUGGAGUUGGUAUGUGAGGAGCUAAAUCCAAAACUGCCUUUAGGAAGCCCAGGAACUCAUUAUGCUUUUCUUUCACAAAUACAAAAUAAAGAUUUUUCCAAAAAAAUUUUCAAUACUCUUCUGUAUUUAGAUCUUAGACAAUUGAAGAGCAGUAAAGAUAAAAUCCAGGACAGGUUAGAGUUUAUACAGCCACUGUUUAUUUUUUUUGAAAGUGUCUGUGGUCCACAAUACUUGUCACUCUGAUAAACCAAUAUCAGACAGAACUGCAGAAAAUCAGCCAUUCUUUCACUUAAGAAUAGACUAGUGGAUAACUCAUACCUCUGGUUUGUGAGUUUUAGCUACAACAGAUUUGCAAACACCCAGGCAUUUCUUUUCAAAGACCCAUGGGAUACAGGGAAGGGCCCCCAGAAAACUCUGGUUCCAACAAAAGCAGAGUAUCUUUAAAAUCCGAUCUUGUGUGGCU